UUAAAAAAUACCUAUUAUUUCAUAUGCAAUGCAAUAUGUUGCUUAUGUUCUUUAUUGCAGUGGAAGCAAAAAAAAAAGAAAGAAAGAAAGAAAGAAAUACAGUAGACAAGCCAAAAUAAUUUGCAUAAAACACAAUGGAAAGUGGCUGAGAAGAGGACAAUUUAGAAAAAUGAUCUCUCCAGGAACGCUGCCAAGGCAAUGGGUCCAACUGAAUUAAUGGUAGACCUGAGUUUUCCCUGAAAUUGACCAACAGCAAACAGUGAAAUGCUGAGAAUUUAGAGGUAAGAAUAAUACUCUGAGAUAUUCUGCCUUUUCAAUUUAGGUUGUUUUUAACAUUUUCCUUUAUUUAAGAAAAUAGAAUGUUGCCUAAUAAUACAAUAAAACCAUAUCUAAAGUGCAGCAAAUAAUUAUAGAAAAU
rnacentral:lncRNA from 1 species